rnacentral:rRNA from 1 species
GCGGCGUGCCUAAUACAUGCAAGUAGAACGCUGAAGAGAGGAGCUUGCUCUUCUUGGAUGAGUUGCGAACGGGUGAGUAACGCGUAGGUAACCUGCCUUGUAGCGGGGGAUAACUAUUGGAAACGAUAGCUAAUACCGCAUAACAAUGGAUGACACAUGUCAUUUAUUUGAAAGGGGCAAUUGUUCCACUACAUGAUGGACCUGCGUUGUAUUAGCUAGUAGGUGAGGUAAUGGCUCACCUAGGCGACGAUACAUAGCCGACCUGAGAGGGUGAUCGGCCACACUGGGACUGAGACACGGCCCAGACUCCUACGGGAGGCAGCAGUAGGGAAUCUUCGGCAAUGGGGGCAACCCUGACCGAGCAACGCCGCGUGAGUGAAGAAGGUUUUCGGAUCGUAAAGCUCUGUUGUAAGUCAAGAACGGGUGUGAGAGUGGAAAGUUCACACUGUGACGGUAGCUUACCAGAAAGGGACGGCUAACUACGUGCCAGCAGCCGCGGUAAUACGUAGGUCCCGAGCGUUGUCCGGAUUUAUUGGGCGUAAAGCGAGCGCAGGCGGUUUGAUAAGUCUGAAGUUAAAGGCUGUGGCUCAACCAUAGUUCGCUUUGGAAACUGUCAAACUUGAGUGCAGAAGGGGAGAGUGGAAUUCCAUGUGUAGCGGUGAAAUGCGUAGAUAUAUGGAGGAACACCGGUGGCGAAAGCGGCUCUCUGGUCUGUAACUGACGCUGAGGCUCGAAAGCGUGGGGAGCGAACAGGAUUAGAUACCCUGGUAGUCCACGCCGUAAACGAUGAGUGCUGGGUGUUGGAUCCUUUCCGGGAUUCAGUGCCGCAGCUAACGCAUUAAGCACUCCGCCUGGGGAGUACGACCGCAAGGUUGAAACUCAAAGGAAUUGACGGGGGCCCGCACAAGCGGUGGAGCAUGUGGUUUAAUUCGAAGCAACGCGAAGAACCUUACCAGGUCUUGACAUCCCGAUGCUAUUUCUAGAGAUAGAAAGUUACUUCGGUACAUCGGUGACAGGUGGUGCAUGGUUGUCGUCAGCUCGUGUCGUGAGAUGUUGGGUUAAGUCCCGCAACGAGCGCAACCCCUAUUGUUAGUUGCCAUCAUUCAGUUGGGCACUCUAGCGAGACUGCCGGUAAUAAACCGGAGGAAGGUGGGGAUGACGUCAAAUCAUCAUGCCCCUUAUGACCUGGGCUACACACGUGCUACAAUGGUUGGUACAACGAGUUGCGAGUCGGUGACGGCGAGCUAAUCUCUUAAAGCCAAUCUCAGUUCGGAUUGUAGGCUGCAACUCGCCUACAUGAAGUCGGAAUCGCUAGUAAUCGCGGAUCAGCACGCCGCGGUGAAUACGUUCCCGGGCCUUGUACACACCGCCCGUCACACCACGAGAGUUUGUAACACCCGAAGUCGGUGAGGUAACCUUUUGGAGCCAGCCGCCUAAGGUGGGACAGAUGAUUGGGGUG